rnacentral:rRNA from 2 species
AAACUAACAAGGAUUCCCCUAGUAACGGCGAGUGAAGAGGGAAGAGCCCAAGAUUGAAAGCUGGCGUCUUCGGCGUCCGCAUUGUAAUCUCAAGAAGUGUUUUCCGCUUCGGACCAUGCCUAAGUCCCUUGGAAAAGGGCAUCAUAGAGGGUGAUAAUCCCGUACAUGGCAUGGAGCGCCCGAAGCUUUGUGAUACGCUUUCUAAGAGUCGAGUUGUUUGGGAAUGCAGCUCAAAAUGGGUGGUAAAUGCCAUCUAAGGCUAAAUAUUGGGGAGAGACCGAUAGCGAACAAGUACAGUGAUGGAAAGAUGAAAAGAACUUUGAAAAGAGAGUUAAACAGUACGUGAAAUUGCCAAAAGGGAAGGGUAGGAGGUCAGAGAUGCGGCCUGGGAUUCAGCCUUGCUUUUGCUUGGUGUUUUUCCCAGAUUGCAGGCCAACGUCGGUUUUGGGCACUGGAGAAGGGUAGGAGGAACGUGGCACCUCUCGGGGUGUGUUAUAGCCUCCUACUGGAUACAGCGACCGAGACCGAGGACAGCAGCGUACUCGCAAGAGCGGGCCUUCGGGCACCUUUACGCUUAGGGCGUUGGCAUAAUGGCCCUCUACCAC